GCCCUCGUAUCCCAACUGGCAGAGGAACUGGACUCAAAACCCAGACAGUGUGGGUUCGAAUCCCACCGAGGGCACCA
rnacentral:tRNA from 2 species